AAUUUAAGUCUAAUCUGCCCACUGAUAUUAUUAAAGGGCCGCAGUAUAUUAACUGUGCAAAGGUAGCAUAAUCAUUAGUCUUUUAAUUGGAGGCUUGUAUGAAUGAUUGGACGAGAUAUAAUCUGUCUCAAAUAAAUUUUUAUAGAAUUUUAUUUUUUAGUUAAAAAGCUAAAAUAUAUUUAAAAGACGAGAAGACCCUAUAGAUCUUUAUAUUUAUAUUAUAUUAUUUUAUAAGAAUUUUUUGAAUAAUAUAUUUUAUAAUAUUUUGUUGGGGUGACAUUGAAAUUUAUUAAACUUUCAAUUUUUAUAAAUCAAAAAUUAUUGAAUUUUUGAUCCUUUAUUAUUGAUAAAAAAAUUAAGUUACCUUAGGGAUAACAGCGUAAUUAUUUUGGAGAGUUCAUAUCGAUAAAAUAGGUUACGACCUCGAUGUUGGAUUAAGAUUAAUUCUAGGCGUAGCAGUUUAGUUUAUUAAGUCUGUUCGACUUUUAAUUUCUU
rnacentral:rRNA from 1 species